rnacentral:rRNA from 1 species
UACGAAGGGGGCGAGCGUUGUUCGGAAUUACUGGGCGUAAAGGGCGCGCAGGCGGCUCUGAAAGUCAGAUGUGAAAGCCCCGGGCUUAACCUGGGAAUUGCAUUUGAUACUCUGGAGCUUGAGUGUGGGAGAGGAGAGGUGGAAUUCCCAGUGUAGAGGUGAAAUUCGUAGAUAUUGGGAAGAACACCGGGUGGCGAAGGCGGCUCUCUGGACCACAACUGACGCUGAGGCGCGAAAGCGAUGGGGGAGCAAACAGGGAUUAAGAAACCCUUGU